rnacentral:rRNA from 1 species
GACGAACGCUGGCGGCGUGCUUAACACAUGCAAGUCGAACGGAAAGGCCCUGCUUUUGUGGGGUUCUCGAGUGGCGAACGGGUGAGUAACACGUGAGUAACCUGCCCUUGACUUUGGGAUAACUUCAGGAAACUGGGGCUAAUACCGGAUAGGAGCUCCUGCUGCAUGGUGGGGGUUGGAAAGUUUCGGCGGUUGGGGAUGGACUCGCGGCUUAUCAGCUUGUUGGUGGGGUAGUGGCUUACCAAGGCUUUGACGGGUAGCCGGCCUGAGAGGGUGACCGGCCACAUUGGGACUGAGAUACGGCCCAGACUCCUACGGGAGGCAGCAGUGGGGAAUAUUGAACAAUGGGCGGAAGCCUGAUGCAGCAACGCCGCGUGCGGGAUGACGGCCUUCGGGUUGUAAACCGCUUUCGCCUGUGACGAAGCGUGAGUGACGGUAAUGGGUAAAGAAGCACCGGCUAACUACGUG